GACGAACGUUUGCGGCGUGCUUAACACAUGCAAGUCGAACGGAAAGGCCCUGCUUUUGUGGGGUGCUCGAGUGGCGAACGGGUGAGUAACACGUGAGUAACCUGCCCUUGACUUUGGGAUAACUUCAGGAAACUGGGGCUAAUACCGGAUAGGAGCUCCUGCUGCAUGGUGGGGGUUGGAAAGUUUCGGCGGUUGGGGAUGGACUCGCGGCUUAUCAGCUUGUUGGUGGGGUAGUGGCUUACCAAGGCUUUGACGGGUAGCCGGCCUGAGAGGGUGACCGGCCACAUUGGGACUGAGAUACGGCCCAGGCUCCUACGGGAGGCAGCAGUGGGGAAUAUUGCACAAUGGGCGGAAGCCUGAUGCAGCAACGCCGCGUGCGGGAUGACGGCCUUCGGGUUGUAAACCGCUUUCGCCUGUGACGAAGCGUGAGUGACGGUAAUGGGUAAAGAAGCACCGGCUAACUACGUGCCAGCAGCCGCGGUGAUACGUAGGGUGCGAGCGUUGUCCGGAUUUAUUGGGCGUAAAGGGCUCGUAGGUGGUUGAUCGCGUCGGAAGUGUAAUCUUGGGGCUUAACCCUGAGCGUGCUUUCGAUACGGGUUGACUUGAGGAAGGUAGGGGAGAAUGGAAUUCCUGGUGGAGCGGUGGAAUGCGCAGAUAUCAGGAGGAACACCAGUGGCGAAGGCGGUUCUCUGGGCCUUUCCUGACGCUGAGGAGCGAAAGCGUGGGGAGCGAACAGGCUUAGAUACCCUGGUAGUCCACGCUGUAAACGGUGGGUACUAGGUGUGGGGUCCAUUCCACGGGUUCCGUGCCGUAGCUAACGCUUUAAGUACCCCGCCUGGGGAGUACGGCCGCAAGGCUAAAACUCAAAGGAAUUGACGGGGCCCCGCACAAGCGGCGGAGCAUGCGGAUUAAUUCGAUGCAACGCGUAGAACCUUACCUGGGUUUGACAUGGAUCGGGAGCGCUCAGAGAUGGGUGUGCCUCUUUUGGGGUCGGUUCACAGGUGGUGCAUGGCUGUCGUCAGCUCGUGUCGUGAGAUGUUGGGUUAAGUCCCGCAACGAGUGCAACCCUUGUUCACUGUUGCCAGCACGUUAUGGUGGGGACUCAGUGGAGACCGCCGGGGUCAACUCGGAGGAAGGUGGGGAUGACGUCAAGUCAUCAUGCCCCUUAUGUCCAGGGCUUCACGCAUGCUACAAUGGCUGGUACAGAGAGUGGCGAGCCUGUGAGGGUGAGCGAAUCUCGGAAAGCCGGUCUCAGUUCGGAUUGGGGUCUGCAACUCGACCUCAUGAAGUCGGAGUCGCUAGUAAUCGCAGAUCAGCAACGCUGCGGUGAAUACGUUCCCGGG
rnacentral:rRNA from 1 species